rnacentral:rRNA from 1 species
UGUGUAGGUGGUGGUAUUAGUCUCCUGUUAAAGGUCCGGGCUCAACCCGGGAAAUGCGGGGGAAACGGUACCACUAGAGGGUAUGAGAGGUGUGCGGAACUCAUGGUGUAGGGGUGAAAUCCGUUGAUAUCAUGGGGAACACCAAAGGCGAAGGCAGCACACUGGCAUAUUCCUGACACUGAGACACGAAAGCGUGGGUAGCGAACG